AGAGUUUGAUCAUGGCUCAGAACGAACGCUGGCGGCAGGCUUAACACAUGCAAGUCGAACGCACCUUUCGGGGUGAGUGGCAGACGGGUGAGUAACGCGUGGGAACGUGCCCUUCAGUUCGGGAUAACCCAGGGAAACUUGGGCUAAUACUGGAUACGUGCGAGAGCAGAAAGAUUUAUCGCUGAAGGAUCGGCCCGCGUCUGAUUAGCUAGUUGGUGGGGUAAUGGCCCACCAAGGCGACGAUCAGUAGCUGGUCUGAGAGGAUGAUCAGCCACAUUGGGACUGAGACACGGCCCAAACUCCUACGGGAGGCAGCAGUGGGGAAUAUUGGACAAUGGGCGCAAGCCUGAUCCAGCCAUGCCGCGUGAGUGAUGAAGGCCUUAGGGUUGUAAAGCUCUUUCGUCCGGGACGAUAAUGACGGUACCGGAAGAAGAAGCCCCGGCUAACUUCGUGCUAGCCGCCGCGGAAUC
rnacentral:rRNA from 1 species